AGAUCCGACUGCUAUUCGGGUAAGACUAAGCCAUGCAAGUCGAAUGGAACAGCUUGUUCCAUGGCGAACUGCUCAGUAACAAGUAAUCAACUUACCCUUCAGUGGAGAAUAACCUCGGGAAACUGAGGCUAAUACUUCAUAGUUGGAAAUUCCUGGAAUGGUUUUCCAUCGAAAGAUAUUUCUAAAUGCGGAAAAUUCGCUGAAGGAUAGGAUCGCUUUCGAUUACGGUUGUUGGUGAGGUAAUGGCUCACCAAGCCUAUGAUCGAUAAGGGCCGUGAGAGCGGUAGCCCUGAGAUGGAUACUGAGACAAUGAUCCAGGCCUUACGAGGCGCAGCAGGCGCGAAACCUUUACAAUGCACGAAAGUGUGAUAAGGUUACCCGGAGUGCUAAAAUUAAAUUUUAGCUGUUAUAGGUGUGUAAAUAACCCUAUGAGAAAGGAGAGGGCAAGGCUGGUGCCAGCCGCCGCGGUAAAACCAGCUCUUCAAGUGGUCGGGAAUAUUAUUGGGCUUAAAGUGUCCGUAGCCGGUUUGGUAAGUUCCUGGUUAAAUCUGGCAGCUUAACUGUCAGUCAGCUAGGAAUACUACUUUACUAGAGGGUGGGAAAGGUUUGAGGUACUCCAGGGGUAGCGGUGAAAUGCGAUAAUCCUUGGGGGACCACCAGUGGCGAAGGCGUCAGACUGGAACACGCCUGACGGUGAGGGACGAAAGCCAGGGGAGCGAACGGGAUUAGAUACCCCGGUAGUCCUGGCCGUAAACGAUGCGUGCUANGUGUUGGUAGGGCUUUGAGCUGUAUCAGUGCCGUNNGNAAACUGUUAAGCGCGCCGCCUGGGAAGUACGCUCGCAAGGGUGAAACUU
rnacentral:rRNA from 1 species